rnacentral:rRNA from 1 species
AUUGAACGCUGGCGGCAGGCCUAACACAUGCAAGUCGAGCGAGCGGCGGACGGGCGAGUAAUGUAUGGGGACUGCCUGACCGAGGGGGAUAACUACUGGAAACGGUAGCUAAUUCCGCAUACUAUCGGAUAACCCAUAUGGGAUUAGCUAGUAGGUUAGGUAAUGGCUCACCUAGGCGACGAUCCCUAGCUGGUCUGAGAGGAUGAUCAGCCACACUGGGACUGAGACACGGCCCAGACUCCUACGGAGGCAGGAGUGGGGAAUAUUGCACAAUGGGCGAAAGCCUGAUGCAGCCAUGCCGCGUGUAUGAAGAAGGCCCUAGGGUUGUAAAGUACUUUCAGUGGGGAGGCGUUACCGACAGAAGAAGCACCGGCUAACUCCGUGCCAGCAGCCGCGGUAAUUC